UGGGGAAUCUUGCACAAUGGGGGAAACCCUGAUGCAGCGACGCCGCGUGAGCGAUGAAGGUUUUCGAAUCGUAAAGCUCUGUCCUAUGGGAAGAUAAUGACGGUACCAUGGGAGGAAGCCCCGGCUAACUACGUGCCAGCAGCCGCGGUAAUACGUAGGGGGCGAGCGUUGUCCGGAAUUACUGGGCGUAAAGGGUUCGCAGGCGGCAUGGCAAGUCCGAUGUAAAAGGCGAAGGCUCAACCUUCGUAAGCAUCGGAAACUGUCAAGCUUGAGUGAAGGGGAGGCAAGUGGAAUUCCUAGUGUAGCGGUAGAAUGCGUAGAUAUUAGGAGGAAUACCGGUGGCGAAGGCGACUUGCUGGACUUCAACUGACGCUGAGGAACGAAAGCGUGGGUAGCAAACAGG
rnacentral:rRNA from 1 species